AAAUAACCUGAUUCUCAACAUUCCAAACAAUAGAUUUUAACGGGUCCUUUGUUCCAACGUCUAUAUUCGAAUAUUUGAACCAAUUUGUCCGUUCGAAUAUUUGAAUAUUUGAAUCUAUAUUCGAGUAUUUGAAUUUUUGAAUCAACUUCAUAGCUUCCAUUCUAUUUCCUACAGCUGCUGUUCUGAGUCUGUUCGCAAUUCUGUGGAGUGGCCAUGGACAGAAAGUGCCAAAUGCUCUGUAAAUCGGCACCAUUUUAGAAAGGCCAAACAUUUGCAGCCUUAAAGAUUAGAAUUAGGUUCUUACAGGAUUUGAUUUCGGUGAAUGCUUCAAGCCCUAGAUGGCCUGCAUAUAAUAUGGGUUUUAAGAGAUGAGAUUUGUCUUGCUUUCGGUGACUUUUUCUUCGGUUCUGUGUUAUUACUAUCCCAAGUAUUGAUGGUUUAGUUUUACUUGUGAGUUUUGGAUUUUGUUUGAAGGCCAACCAUUCAGAAGCUCCUGCCGUAGAGUGUGGUUGAUGAUGUUUGUCAAUUCAAAUCUCAUUACAGCAGAGAAACCCUCGCAUGAAUGCAUCCAAUUUUUCAUGGACCUCAUUCCCUCUUUCUUUUUAUGAAUGUCCUUGUUGCAAGGAAUAUUCGACUGCAGGAGCAUGCAUAUGAAACAUCCUUGUUCUAAGAAAUAUCUAUGGAGUAGACAACAUGAGCCUGUUCUUCAAUGUUUCAUGUAUGGUGGGGUUUGUUCUGAACUUCUGUGUAUUGCAAUAGCUCUGUUUUGGGCUGCAAUUAAUGCAGGAGGCAGGGUAGAUAGUGUUCUGAAAGACAUGGACAUGGCGAUGGCAGCGUUCAAGUCACUGUCGAAUUGUAGCUCUGUUCAGGCCAUUGCCAGACAAGGAUGCAGGAAACAUUUGCUCAAAGAUGACUCUCCAAGAUUAAAUUAAAAGGGCAGUUCUCUGAUCAUUAUAUGAUCUGUAAACUUAUUCUCUGCUUUUUGGGCAUUCAAAGGCUCAGGGGAAGAAAUUUCAAGCUUCUAUGGAACAAGAGGCUACAGGAUUACUUGACAACUAGGGUUGGUCUUAUAUGCAACAAUCCAAUUAUAUUGUUACAGAGGGUGUAUACAGACACACUAAACAACAUAUUAAAUGCAGUAUAAAGACAGUUGGUGGACAAAGAGUCUGACAGAACAAUAGCUCUGUUUUUGGAGGCAAUUUAUACAGGAGACAGGAGAGACAGUGUUCUACUUCUGAAAAAGACUAGGCAAUUGUCAACAAGUAAGCUCAGGGCCUUUCAACCAGUGGAGAGCUACCACAUCUAUUUCAAGAUCUAUACAAAUUGACCAUGGGUAGUUGGAUAUGGCUAUGAUGGCUACUUUCAUUCAGGAUAUGAAGCAAAAGAGAGAAGUGUAGCUCAAUUUGCAACAUUCAGGAUAUAAAUACAGUUUCCAAUAAUUCUGAAUGGACUCUUUACAGGACAAUGGACAAUUGCACAGUUGAAGCACAGGCUCAACUUAAUUCAUCAGAGUUUUGCAUUUCAAGUUUCGAUGGAACAAGAGGCUACAAGAUCUCAGAAGAAGAAAGUUCAAGUUUUUAUAGAACAAAAGGCUACAAGGGUACAAGUUUUUAUAGUCCAAUUGUACAAAAGGGUACAAGAUUACUUGGAAUUGGAUUGGAUGUAUACAUGCAAUAGUCCAAUUGUACUGCUGGAGAGGCUGUAUCGAGGAAAUUGUAGGUACAAGUACCAUGUAGGUACGAGGUAUCAACUCCACCUGGCUUCAUAGGUUUGAGCAUACCUUAUUGACCUGCUGGAAAUGGAGGAGAUAGUCAUAAUCUUGGAAUGACAAACCAACAACCUUGUCUUCACCAAAUGAUUGUUUGGGUCCACAUGAGACUUGGAUGGGGUUAAGGGUUUGGGAGAGGUUACUAGGAUAACCCAAGAUGGGGGUCGGGACCUAUGGAGGCCUGUCAGGGUAGCCAUACCAAGCUAUGUGAUGACACUCUUCCCUUAUCAUCACUAGUGUGUAGUCUUGCUGGUUUCACCUGAAUUUUGAUGUGGAGUCAUGUUCUACGAGUUUUUACUUCAUAUGAGUCUUUUCAAUAUUGUGAUUUUGGCCAUGUGUGUGUGCAUACCUUUAGGUUUCUAGUGGGUCUUAUUUAUAUCUUCUAGCACGGUGGGGUGGUUCUUUUUGAGCCACAUGGUCGAGUGGCAGUGCCACUUUCCAUCGAGUGUGUUUGUUCCUUCUUGCAGAGUUGGCUUCACAGGUGUUCCAGUCACGCUUGGAUUCAAGCAUCUUGUUAUCCACUUGUAUCCCAUUUGUUAAGGAUCAUUCUUUGUAUAUCUUGGACCUUUUAUGGUCAGUUGUUAUUAAUUUGAUAUGUAUGCCUUCACGACAAGAUGUAAAUUGUAAUGUAAACAUUAUCUGAGUUUUGAAACUUA